UAUAUUUCUCUUCAAUUUCCUGACCCUCUGAAUUUUACUAAUGUUUUUAUGAUCCAAAGAAAAUAAUAUACCCAGGAUGAGAAAAUCGUGGCAAGUCUAUGGUUGUUCAUUUGUGGCUUUGUUUCUAAAGUGCAGCUGUACCCACCGUAACGAACAGAUGGAAGGAAAGAGUGAGUGGAGUGAAGGCAAACAAUAUGGUUCUCAAACAUAACUGCACAUCUCAAAGUCAUGUAACACUUGGUGUUCUGUCAAUUCUGACAUCAUAGAUGGAACUUGAAAAUACAUCACUGUGGAUUGUUGUCUAUACGCAGGAACAAUGUUGAGAAUAUGCUGUUUAUGAAGACAUGGAUGUUCAAUAUGAACUGAUAAAGACAACCACACAAGAUUCAUUUGGGGCUGGAGAGAUGGUUCAGGAGUUAAGAGAACUGGUAGCUCUUUUAGAACCCACCACCAAAAUUGUAGCUGAAAACUGUUUGUAACCACAGGCACAGGGGAUAUAAAACACAUGUGAAGUACACACACAAAUGUGGUCCCCAGUCUCUGCUGACUGCCCUGCAGGUCAGGGAAAGGAAAGAAAAGAAAAAAGAACAUAACCACUAAAACUACAUCUAUGUCAUGACCCACCAUUUGGGAACUUCUGCGCAGCUAUUCAACAUAGUCCAGAGAUUUGCUGCACUCAUCACAAUUAAGUAGAACCAGAAUAGAUGUCUUUCAAGACAAAAGGAUAAAAAUGUGAUAAUACCUAAGGAAAACUUGUACCUGUCAAUAUAUUGUGAAUUCUUACAUUGACAGCACUACUGGAUGUGUUCCCCAAGACAUCUGAAAUUGCACAUGAUCACACUGCCCCUAAACCCAACAAGUUAAACAGAUCUCAGCGUCUUCAUGGCUCUGCUUCACACCAAGUUCUUUCACAAGAACUCAAGAUCGGUACUCCAGCCUUCAUGUUUGUAUGGAAAACACUUUACCUUAGCCAUGCAUCUCCUUAAAAUGAUGAUCAAUCUUUGAAGAUGUAAGUGUUUUUAUCUUGACUCAAAAUUUGUGUAUUAUAUUUUACUGAUAUGGACCAGGAGGGGGAUAAGGACUGGACUGUAAUGAAAAGAUUAAAGGUGAAUAUAUUUUUCAAAAUUAUAAAACACAAUUCCUUCUGCAACUCAAACAGAAUUUAGUUAAACAUACAAAUCAUGACAAAGAUAUUAACAUGUAUUUGGGUACUGGUAAAGAAAUAAGUUUUAAGGAAACAAGGUGAUGAACAUGAUCCAGAAUAUGAGGUAUAAAUGAACAAUGUGUAUUAU